rnacentral:rRNA from 1 species
AGUGAACGCUGGCGGUAGGCCUAACACAUGCAAGUCGAACGGCAGCACAGUAAGAGCUUGCUCUUACGGGUGGCGGGUGGCGGACGGGUGAGGAAUACAUCGGAAUCUACUUUUUCGUGGGGGAUAACGUAGGGAAACUUACGCUAAUACCGCAUACGACCUACGGGUGAAAGCAGGGGAUCUUCGGACCUUGCGCGAUUGAAUGAGCCGAUGUCGGAUUAGCUAGUUGGCGGGGUAAAGGCCCACCAAGGCGACGAUCCGUAGCUGGUCUGAGAGGAUGAUCAGCCACACUGGAACUGAGACACGGUCCAGACUCCUACGGGGGGCAGCAGUGGGGAAUAUUGGACAAUGGGCGCAAGCCUGAUCCAGCCAUACCGCGUGGGUGAAGUAGGCCUUCGGGUUGUAAAGCCCUUUUGUUGGGAAAGAAAAGCAGCAGGUUAAUACCCCGCUGUUCUGACGGUACCCAAAGAAUAAGCACCGGCUAACUUCGUG